AUUUUUCCGGAAAAAUAUGGAAGAGCGUUUGCACCCCGUUCUAUCACCUGCAUUUUCCAGCACACAGCAGAGCGUGACUCUCUGUCCGGGUGCAUGUUUUCAAGGCCGUUCUGGGCUGAAAGCAUGAGGGUGAAGUUGAGAAGGGGAAGGUGAGGGCGUGGAGGCUUCUGGAAGCCCUCCUUCUCUACGGAGCUCAACAGGGACAGGAAGUCCGAGGACCAGCUGGGUUGAAGAGUCAUACAUUAAGGAUGGAGGAAACCACCCUCUUGCCGACCAAGGCACUAUGGGGGAAGUGAGAAGGGAUGGAGGGGAGGAGGGAGGACGAAAGCAGAGGGAGGAGGAAUGUUCUCGCCAGUAGAUGAGAGAAAAGGAGGGGAGGGUGUUGACGAGGUAGUAAAGCCGAUGCAAGAGGGACGGAUUUUAAGAGUCUCUUCUGUGCCAUUCCAACCUCCCCGAAGCAGACGAGGUCAUCGGUUGAGCGCAGCUGGGACUGGUCUCCAGGAAGUGGGAGCAUUUGGACCGGAAGUUCUGGGAGAUUCAGCGGGGAGCCAGCAAAGAACGGCAGUGAGAAGCCAAUUAGGGGAACAUUCAUGGCGGCCACACGGCUUCCUCCAGCACCACAUGGGACUCCAAGAGCAGGAAGGACAGGAAGGAGGCUGGGGCACGGCCAGGGUGCAGGCUGGGGAGAUGGUCGCAGGAGAGCCCUCUGGCCAGGAGGAAGAAUGCUUGGGUGUCCCGUCCUGGAGGACAAAUGGAAGGAAAGCUGAUCUUCGAUGAGCUUUCCAAGGCGGGGACCAUGAGCCCCGAGCAAGGAUUUGUUUAUGGAAGUGCAAAAGGAACGUUAACGAGGCUGUCCAGAGGCCCCCUCUCAUCUCCUCCUGGAAGCGCUCACUCCCAGGAGCCCCUUCCCCUCCAAGAACUUCCCAAGACCUGGAUUUCAUUAAAUACCAUGGAGAGAAAACACUUGUUAAUCAUCUGCAAAAUUUGGACUCUCAAAGGCCCGUGUCCGUGGUUCUCAAGAUGCAAGCCCCGGGCCGGCAGCGUCAGCAGCACCUGGGAACACGCUGGAAAUGCACAGGCAGCUAAAUUCAGUAUCAGCAGCGAGGGCUGGAAAGCAUCUCUCCUUCAACAGCUUCCCCUCUGGCUGCCGGUGCCCAGGGAAAGUGCCCUUGUCCUGCAGAAGCAGGGACAGACCAACACGAGCAGAGCACCUCACAACAGCAGGGCGAGGCGGGUAAGCACCCGAUGCCCAGGCUGCCAUGACGAUGCCAUGACGAUGUCCCGGCGGGCUAUUAUGUCACUUCUCUUCUGUAGCCGAAUCACCCAACCACGUCCUCCCCCCCAUCACUGGGGCGUCAUGCUGGAUGUUGUUAGGGCGAGACCCAGAAAACUUCAGGCUCCUCACCAUGGGGUUUCUUGGCCGCGGUGCUCCUUCCUGUCUGUGCUCGUGUGGCCCCAGAACCGGGUGUUGCCCGGGGCCCCUUCCUCCCUUUCAGGGCCACCUUGCUUCCGCUGACCAUUUGCAACGUCCCUCCUGCCCCGGCUGGAGACCCACGAACAACUGUUAGUCCUUGUCCUUCAAAAGCCGGUUAUGCCAGUAGAGAGAGGAGAUUAAGACAGCACCCAUGGGACACGAUAAAUAUAUUUAGGGACAAUAAUGGCGGAAGACGGGCCAGACAGGGCCAGGCACUUAAUCAGCUGGGAGAACCAGGGGCGAACUACGUCGCUGUGCGGGUCGGAGACCCCGCGGCCCAGGAUGCGAGGCCGAGGAGGUGCCAAGGGGUGGGAGUGUCUUGAGGGGUGAAAAUGUGGGGGAGGAAAUGUCAUGCUCACUCACUCUCAAGGCUUCUUGAGAAGCAGACUGCCCGGGGCUGGAGGGUCAUAACCGCUCCAGCAGAAGAGUUUUGUGUGGUGUGUCCAGAUUUUGAGCAGCCACAAGGACCUGUCUGUCUCCUGCUGGGCAGGAGUGGGCUUGCCUCUUGCUCCUGGUGAAGUAGGAGUUCUCCCGGGGCUAGAUGGGGCUGAUGGGGAGCCAUCCAAGGCAGAGGAGACAAGGGGAGACACAAGCUGGAGAGGGGACAGGCUGGAUCCUGAGAAGGCUGAGCUGGGCUCGGCGACUGUCCCCCGGGUAGAAGCCCCUGCUUUGAAGGGACCAGGGCAUCUCGCCAGGGGGUGGGGUUCCACAGCCGGGGCGGGACAGCAACCCUGCCUGGAUGGCACGUCCGGCCACCGUGCGUUCUCGCUCCUAAGACCUCUUCCCUCCCUUUAGGCAGGAUGGAGAAACUCCCGACAGUCGACAGUCACCAUGGGAUUGAGCCUCUUUGUCCUGAGGGUUUUGUUCAGGUGUUUUUAGUUUCAACCUCUUUGUCUCUUGAAAAUUUUCAUUAAGAAAAAAAAUCUUAAAAAUCUGUAAGUUAAACAUGCUUGGGUUUACCCUGUUUUGAAAAUCCUCCCUGUGUUAAGAUGAUCACGGAUUAAAUGCAUUGAGAGAAAAAUGCCCUAAGAUCCCUGCCAUCACGUUGCAUCAACGCUGAAAUUCAAGGGCAGGCUGAGGCCGUGGCUGACAAUGAUUCCUAGGACGUCAGCAGACCUAGCAGCCAAGGGCAUCUCCCCUGCCUUCCCCAUGUCACAGAUAAACACCUGAAGUCCACGGAGGUAAGUUAGGGGUCUUGAGAGAUGAAGGCAGGUCUUCCGAGGGAUCUGGUGGAUGGCUGUUGAGGGCAUCCGGGUCACAUCAGCGGCCCUUGUGCCCAUCGAAGUCUCUGUGUGUUUGCAGGGGGUUGAACUGACAGAGGCCUGAUGCUCUGGGCGAGGCUGGCUUCAGGGCAGCUCUGAUUCUAAACAAAGGCAGCCCCACCCUGAGCACUCUGUCUGCCGGCCUCACUUCUCUGUGGCCGGGUUCCUACUUAGAAAGAGAACAGCACACGCAGGAUUAGCAACCCCAGCUGCCAGUCCCCCACCGCCCGCUGUGUUCCAGACACUGGCCACCCGCUGUCCCCAAACGCCUGACACACAGUACCGUAUUUCAUUCUUACAACAGCCCCAUUUUGCAGCUUUGGAAACCGAGGCACGGAGUGGCUAAGCUUUAAGUGGACGGGGACAGAAACCUUCCGGGUUUGACUUACAACGGACGGAAAAACAAUCGAGUCAGCACACGUGGGUGGGCACAGUGAUGCCACCAAGGAGAUGAAAUGCUCCCUCCAGGAGCUCUGCAGAAAGGUGACCUCUGAAACUGCUCAGAGGAGCAGGAUGGUCCUGCUGGGGAGGACCCGGUUGGGAGCUGGCACGCGGCCGAGGAGGAGAGGGGGUACUGGGUCAGCCAUAAGUCGUGGAGAAACCCCAAGUCAUCAGACAAAAGAAGCUAGAACCGUGGCCAGGGCCAUGAGAUGUCGGAAGGGGGUUCAGCGAUAGAGAUGAGUUGAGCUAGUUUCCAAAGAGGCAGGACUAGAUGGCCAGGAACUGGUCGGAUGAUAACAGAGCUUAGGCACCAAGACGAAGCGGGAGGGAGAGACAGGUGCGCAAAUAGGGCUUAGUGGAGAGACGUGCCAGGCCCCCCAGGACUGGUCAUCGAACCCAGUUCCAGCACAUGCACUAGAGAGGAACUGUGGUUUAGAACCAAAGUUAAGGCCCGAUAUGAUAUGCUGCCUUGACAUCCGGUGAAACCAGGAGGGCUUGGAACAGCUCACCGCAAGUUCCCCUCCUCAGAUGAGUUCCCCCUUGUCUGCCCCCAUGGAUAAGGGCCCCCAGCCAAGCGACCCCUCUCAUCAAGGGGACCAGGCACAGUUCCUGCUUAUCCCUCCCCGAGGAGCGGGUUCCAGUUCCCUCCAGCUCGUGGAAUUAUUCAAGCAAGCCAAUCACAUCUUCCUGAGGGAACCAGGAGUUACCCCACCCUCUUUUUAAAACAAAUUUUUUUUUAAUGUUUAUUUAUUUUUGAGAGAGACAGAGACAGAGUGUGAACGGGGCAGGGGCAGAGAGAAAGGGAGACAGAAUCCGGAGCAGGCUCCAGGCUCUGAGCAAGCUGUCAGCACAGAGCCUGACGCAGGGCUGGAACUCACAAGCUGCGAGAUCGUGACCUGAGGCGAAGUCGGACGCUUAACCGACUGAGCCCCCCAGGCGCCCCUACCCCACCCUCUUAAUACCACCAAGCCUGCCCCUCCCAGCUCCUCCUUGAUCACUCUGUUCCUGAGCGUGGUCCUGCGUGGAGUGCAAUGCCCUCUUCCCCCAGGCCGUGAGUAUAUGGGAUCAAUAAAUGGCCGUUGACCUCAUCUAGCCA
ensembl:lncRNA